rnacentral:miRNA from 1 species
UUCAGCUCUUUAACUUUCCAGG